UGAGAGGGUGAUCGGCCACACUGGGACUGAGACACGGCCCAGACUCAUACGGGAGGCAGCAGUAGGGAAUCUUCCGCGAUGGACGAAAGUCUGACGGAGCGACGCCGCGUGAGUGAUGAAGGUUUUCGAAUCGUAAAGCUCUGUUGUUAGGGAAGAACAAGUGCGAGAGUAACUGCUCGCACCUUGACGGUACCUAACCAGAAAGCCACGGCUAACUACGUGCCAGCAGCCGCGGUAAUACGUAGGUGGCAAGCGUUGUCCGGAAUAUAUUGGGCGUAAAGGGCUCGCAGGCGGUUUCUUAAGUCUGAUGUGAAAGCCCCCGGCUCAACCGGGGAGGGUCAUUGGAAACUGGGAAACUUGAGUGCAGAAGAGGAGAGUGGAAUUCCACGUGUAGCGGUGAAAUGCUGUAGAGAUAGUGGAGGAACACCAGUGGCGAAGGCGACUCUCUGGUCUGUAACUGACGCUGAGGAGCGAAAGCGUGGGGAGCGCACAGGAUUAGAUACCCUGGUAGUCCACGCCGUAAACGAUGAAGUGACUAAGUGUUAGGGGGUUUCCGCCCCUUAGUGGUGCAGCUAACGCAUUAAGCACUCCGCCUGGGGAGUAC
rnacentral:rRNA from 1 species